GUCCGACCAUAUGGUAAGACAGAUUUUUGAAUGUUGACACCAUAGAAAACAGACGACAUGCAUUGGUAUGUGCUAAACAAUUGCGAAGAGGUGGAAGCGUACAUGAUGUGAGUAUAUAUAUUUAUGUUUUGCAAUGUUGAUAUUGCAUGAACGUAUGGACUCAUAGACUCUAAAUUAAUAUAUAUAUAUUAUUAUUGUAUCACUUUAGUGAGCAUGAAAGUGAACUUAGAAGAAUCAAUUCGCAGCAUGGUUUGACAAACGAAUAAGCUUAAUGUUCACCAUGACUUAAAGG
rnacentral:lncRNA from 1 species